rnacentral:rRNA from 1 species
UACGUACGAGGCGAGCGUUAUCCGGAAUUACUGGGCGUAAAGCGCGCGCAGGCGGACCAUUAAGUUGGGCGUGAAAUCUCCCGGCCUAACUGGGAGGGGUCGCCCAAGACUGGUGGUCUUGAGGACAGCAGAGGUGGGUGGAAUUCCUGGUGUAGUGGUGAAAUGCGUAGAGAUCAGGAGGAACACCGGUGGCGAAGGCGGCCCACUGGGCUGUCGACUGACGCUGAGGCGCGAAAGCUCGGGGAGCGAACGGG